UAUGUGGUAGGUCCGAAGUCCACGUGUGUUGUCAUGCCGAUGACAGCUGGGCCAAUGAGAUCAGAGGGGCCAGGAGCCUGAAACCCUCAUCAGCCCCAGCACAGCUGAAAUAUCUUUAAAAGAAUUACUACUCAACUCCGUCACCUUCUACAGACAGCUUGGUUUUGGAUGCUGCAUUUCUCACAGUGCCAGCAAUUCGGAUGUGGAGAAACCCACUGCAUGGGAAGGCAGGAGCAGGAAUGAUGAGGGAGGUGAUCGGAUCAGAACUCCUUAUGAAUCUGCCACAGCUUUUCUGACAAUCUGUCCUGUCACACAAAGUCUUUUUCCUGACCUUCUUCCUAAAAUCACAUAGGGUUCCUAAUCAGCUGGGUGUGGUGGCAUAGUGGGAAAUGACCUCACUUGCCCCUUUUGAGGAUUUCCUCCCUGUUCAAACACCAAAGCCCGGUACAAUUAGCAGCUACUGACAAGCAAUGGAUGGUUGACUGAAUUUUUAUACAUAAAAAAAAGUGAGCAAAUAUUUAAAUGAUAAAUAGCAUGGAGGUAAAUGUUAAUAGAACUAUACAGUUUCUUACUGUUGAGUGGUGUUUAUUAAUAAAGCCCAUUUAUCUGCA